rnacentral:rRNA from 1 species
UACGUAGGGGGCAAGCGUUGUCCGGAAUCAUUGGGCGUAAAGAGCGUGUAGGCGGCCAGAUAAGUCCGCUGUGAAAACUCGAGGCUCAACUUCGAGCUGUCGGCGGAAACUAUCUGGCUAGAGUCCGGAAGAGGAGAGUGGAAUUCCUGGUGUAGCGGUGAAAUGCGCAGAUAGUCAGGAAGAACCACCGUGGCGAAGGCGGCUCUCUGGGACGGUACUGACGCUGAGACGCGAAAGCGUGGGGAGCGAACAGG